GGUUGAUCCUGCCAGUAGUCAUAUGCUUGUCUCAAAGAUUAAGCCAUGCAUGUCUAAGUAUAAGCACUUAUACUGUGAAACUGCGAAUGGCUCAUUAAAUCAGUUAUAGUUUAUUUGAUAGUACCUUACUACUUGGAUAACCGUGGUAAUUCUAGGGCUAAUACAUGCUAAAAUAGGCGACUUCUGGAAGCCUAGUAUUUAUUAGAUAAAAAACCAACCCGGGCAACCGGUUUACUGGUGAAUCAUGAUAACUUUUCGAAUCGCAUGACUUUACGUCGGCGAUGGUUCAUUCA
rnacentral:rRNA from 1 species